rnacentral:rRNA from 1 species
GACGAACGCUGGCGGCGUGCUUAACACAUGCAAGUCGAACGGAAAGGCCCUGCUUUUGUGGGGUGCUCGAGUGGCGAACGGGUGAGUAACACGUGAGUAACCUGCCCUUGACUUUGGGAUAACUUCAGGAAACUGGGGCUAAUACCGGAUAGGAGCUCCUGCUGCAUGGUGGGGGUUGGAAAGUUUCGGCGGUUGGGGAUGGACUCGCGGCUUAUCAGCUUGUUGGUGGGGUAGUGGCUUACCAAGGCUUUGACGGGUAGCCGGCCUGAGAGGGUGACCGGCCACAUUGGGACUGAGAUACGGCCCAGACUCCUACGGGAGGCAGCAGUGGGGAAUAUUGCACAAGGGGCGGAAGCCUGAUGCAGCAACGCCGCGUGCGGGAGGACGGCCUUCGGGUUGUAAACCGCUUUCGCCUGUGACGAAGCGUGAGUGACGGUAAUGGGUAAAGAAGCACCGGCUAACUACGU